AUUGAACGCUGGCGGCAUGCUUUACACAUGCAAGUCGAACGGCAGCGCGGGCUUCGGCCUGGCGGCGAGUGGCGAACGGGUGAGUAAUACAUCGGAACGUGCCCAGUAGUGGGGGAUAGCUCGGCGAAAGCCGGAUUAAUCCCGCAUACGACCUGAGGGUGAAAGCGGGGGAUCUUCGGACCUCGCGCUAUUGGAGCGGCCGAUGGCAGAUUAGCUAGUUGGUGGGGUAAAGGCCUACCAAGGCGACGAUCUGUAGCUGGUCUGAGAGGACGACCAGCCACACUGGAACUGAGACACGGCCCAGACUCCUACGGGAGGCAGCAGUGGGGAAUUUUGGACAAUGGGCGAAAGCCUGAUCCAGCAAUGCCGCGUGUGUGAUGAAGGCCUUCGGGUUGUAAAGCACUUUUGGCGGGAACGAAAAGGACUGUGCCAAUACCACGGUUCGAUGACGGUACCCGCAGAAUAAGCACCGGCUAACUACGUG
rnacentral:rRNA from 1 species